CAGAGAGUUGAUUAUGGCUCAGGAUGAACGCUAGCGGCAGGCUUAACACAUGCAAGUCGAGGGGCAGCGGGAUGUAGCAAUACAUUGCCGGCGACCGGCGGAUGGGUGCGUAACGCGUAUGCAACCUACCUAUACAGGGGAAUAACCUUUCGAAAGGGAGACUAACACCCCAUAGUAUUGAUUUAAGGCAUCUUAGAUUAAUUAAAUAUUUAUAGGUAUAAGAUGGGCAUGCGUAUGAUUAGCUAGUUGGUAAGGUAACGGCUUACCAAGGCGACGAUCAUUAGGGGUUCUGAGAGGAAGGUCCCCCACACUGGUACUGAGACACGGACCAGACUCCUACGGGAGGCAGCAGUGAGGAAUAUUGGUCAAUGGGCGCAAGCCUGAACCAGCCAUGCCGCGUGCAGGAAGACGGCCUUAUGGGUUGUAAACUGCUUUUACAUAAGACUAACCGUAUAUUUGCGAAUAUACCUGAAUGUAUUAUGAGAAUAAGGAUCGGCUAACUCCGUGCCAGCAGCCGC
rnacentral:rRNA from 1 species